rnacentral:rRNA from 1 species
GAUGAACGCUAGCGGCAGGCCUAAUGCAUGCAAGUCGAACGGUGUCUUCGGACAUAGUGGCGCACGGGUGCGUAACACGUAUGCAACCUACCUUACACUGGGGGAUAGCCUUUCGAAAGGGAGAUUAAUACCGCAUAAGACAGUAGCUGGGCAUCCAGCAGCUGUUAAAGAUUUAUCGAUGUAUGCUGGGCAUGCGUCCAAUUAGCUAGUUGGUGAGGUAACGGCUCACCAAGGCAAUGAUUGGUAGGGGAACUGAGAGGUCAAUCCCCCACACUGGCACCGAGAUACGGGCCAGACUCCUACGGGAGGCAGCAGUAGGGAAUAUUGGGCAAUGGACGCAAGUCUGACCCAGCCAUGCCGCGUGCAGGAUGAAGGCGUUAUGCGUUGUAAACUGCUUUUAUACAGGAAGAAACGACUCUUGCGAGAGGCAUUGACGGUACUGUAUGAAUAAGCACCGGCUAACUCCGUGCCAGCCGCCGCCGUAACAC